rnacentral:rRNA from 1 species
GGUAGGGCAGUGGAGACAUUGUCCUUCAGUUAGGCUGGCCCCAGAACAGGUGCUGCAUGGCUGUCGUCAGCUCGUGUCGUGAGAUGUUGGGUUAAGUCCCGCAACGAGCGCAACCCUCGCCCUUAGUUGCCAGCAUUUAGUUGGGCACUCUAAGGGGACUGCCGGUGAUAAGCCGAGAGGAAGGUGGGGAUGACGUCAAGUCCUCAUGGCCCUUACGGGCUGGGCUACACACGUGCUACAAUGGUGGUGACAGUGGGCANCGAGACAGCGAUGUCGAGCUAAUCUCCAAAAGCCAUCUCAGUUCGGAUUGCACUCUGCAACUCGAGUGCAUGAANUUGGAAUCGCUAGUAAUCGCNGAUCACAUGCUGCGGUGAAUACNUUCCCGGGUCUUGUACACACCG